UUAUCUUCUAAGAUGCGAGUUCCACUUACUUAACCUCCCCCUCCAACCAGCCCUCAGUACCACCACUAAUGCAGUGACACCAAGCUGAGAACUGACAUCCACCAAGUGAAUGGGGAAGAAGGGGCAGGCUUGGAGUUGAAGUGGCCCAGUAGAGUUCAAAGAGAUCAUUGGCACUGAAGUUACGAGUGAAGGGUCUUAGUUGUCACAUUUAAGAAGCCAUUUAGGAAAACUUUUAAGCAGCUAAGAACAAAGGCUUUUGGACUUGAAAAACCCCAAUCCAGACACCUUCGUCCUUCCUGGCUGCAGGAUCCUGUGCACGUUGAGCUCUUUGAAUCUGCUCCUGUGUCAGCAGAUUUUAGGAUUCUCUCUUAUAAAGUGGUAAAGGUUCUACCUCCCAAAAUGGAUGCUGUUGGUCAUAUCAUUUCGCAGUGCACACUGCCGCAUCUGUUCAUUCAUCUGAGCAGCGUUUCUAACCUAUGAAUGCAUCAACAGGAACAGAAAAUAAUUCUAGAACACUGAUAUUAAUAACAACAACAAAAAAACCCUGAAAUAAUAAUUGAGAAGUCUGAAAAUAAACCUGCUCUUUUCUCAAGGAACUGCUGGCGGCAAGCUGUAUAAACUACGUAUUUAUCAUUUUAUAUUUGCCUACAGUGACACCUGCUGGAAAACUCCGUUGAAGCCUUAAAAUGAAAAUAAAUUUAAAAUAAAAUAAAAACCAAGCUUUGAAAACAA
rnacentral:lncRNA from 1 species